GUAAGAACCUGCUAGGUAGGCAGUACAUGCCUACCAGGAUGGAACUGAAAGAACCUAGUGGGGAAACCCCCACUCAAUUCUCGAUUCGGUGCGCACCCAAGAAUCACGAACAGACGA
rnacentral:pre_miRNA from 7 species